rnacentral:sRNA from 1 species
CUUGUUCUCAUUAUAUAUGUGGUAUAUUUUACAGGGAAAUUAUAUUUUCUUUCACGCUUUACUUGUUAUUUCUCUAGGAGAGGACUGCUGUUUUUUCUUAAAGUUCAUAAAAUAGAUAUAUUUGUGUAUAUGAACCAAACUGAAGGCACUUCUAAUGAGUAUUUCUACAUUUUUAGGGAAGCAGGAAUUGAGGAACAGAUUCUCCAGCCAUGGAUUGUGGUGAAUCUCGUGGUGGCUCUUCUGGUUGGAUUAUCUUGGCUAUUUUUGUCUUAUAGGCCAGGCAUGGAUCUUAGUGAAGAGUUAAUGUUCUCCUCAGAGGUGGAAGAAUAUCCUGAUAAAGAGAAAGAAAUCAAAGCCUCUUCAUAAUACCAGCUCACCUUUGGAGGAAUAAUGACCCAGUAUUUGUCCCAUUUUUGUUUUUAAAUGUAUUUUUAUAAGAUGUGUACAUGUGUAUUUGUAAUAGAUUUUUUGAUUAUAUAAUACUGAAACAUCUCUCAGUAUUAUGAAAAAUGUUAAAAUUGUGUUUGCUAUUUAUGUCUAAACAUUAAUUUGUCUAGCAUUAUCAUCUUAAUGACAAAGGGAAUAAUGAACUAGAAACCAGCAAGUGAAAGUGUUUAUUUCCUAUUUUCUCAAAACAGUUGUAUUUAUAACUAUUAUCUUAAAAAGCACUGGUUUAGAAAAAGCCAUAACUUAAAUAGUGUUAUAAAAUAUAUAUCAGGUUUAAACAUAAAUUUAGCGAAUAUGGUAGAAGGGAAAAAAGCCUUCAUUUUUGACCUCCCCUUACUGAAUAAAUUGAAAUAUGAAAUUUGUCUUUUCUGAAACUGGCUUAGUGAUUGAGUAUCAUGUAAUAAUUAUAAUUUAGCUUGAAAGAUGCUCUACAUCAUGACCAAUAAAAAGGGAAUGUAUGUUUUGUUUGAAAAAUUAUAUAACCUAAAUUUUUUACCUAGAAGUAACUAACAAGUUGCUUCUCAUUAUAAUCUGUACUAGUGGUUCUCGUAUCUGGUUGUACAUCAGGAUCAUAGAGGGAGAUUUAAAAAAUCUAUGUAGCAAAAGAGGCUGAGCAGGGCAAGGCUCAGGGGAAUAAAGGAGAGACCUGUGAGCUUGUGGGCUCCCAGUUGACAUCUGCAGUACCCUUUCCUCUGUCCCUUUUUUCUGAGUGACAAGAAAUAGGAGUAGAAAUUCACCAUCUCUGUUCUCCAGCUCUUUGUCAGAGAGGUUUCUGGUUUUCCAGGAAAUCCCCCUCUUGAGAUGGGUCCUGCACUGGGAAAGAUCUCUUCAGAACUAUAUCCAAUGGUACCUCAGCUGUUGUAUAUGAGACCCUAGAGCUCAAGUUGAGGAGAAGACUAGCUAUGGGAAAAAAUGUUUCAAAGGCUGUUGAGCACAUCAAUAAAACUAUUGGGCCUGCCCUGAUUAGCAAGCAACUGAAUGUUAUAGAACAGAAGAGGAUUGACAAAUUGAUGAUAGAGAUAGUUGACCCUGACAAUAGGUCUAAAUUUGGAGUGAACAUUAUACUGGGAAUCUCUUUUGCUGUUUGUAAGGCUGGAGCUGCUGAAAAGGGAUUCUCCCUGCUGUCACAGAAUUGUGAAUUUGCUGGCAAUUCUGAAGGCAUCCUGCUAGUUCCAGCUUUCACUGUGACCAGCAAUGGUUCUCAUUCUGGCAAUAAGCUGGCAGUAUAGGAGUUCACAAUCUUCCCCGUCAGCAAACUUCAGGGAAGCCAUGCUCGUUAGAGCCAACGCUUAGCAUACUUGAGCCGUGUCAUCAAAGAGAAAUGUGAGAAAGCUGCUGCCAAUGUGGUGGAUUGUGGUAGGCUGCAUAAUGUCUCCUAAAGAUGUCCAUGUCCUAAUCCCUGGAACUUGUGAAUAUACUACUUUACAUGGCCAAACGGAUUUGCAGAUAUGAUAAAGGUUAUGAACCUUAAAACGGGGACAUUAUCCUGUAUUAUCCAGAAGGGUCCAGUGUAAUCUUAUGAGUCCUUAAAAGCAGAGAAGAAAGCCUUUUAUGUCUGUGGUCAGAGAGGUCAGAAGUUAUGAUAUUGCUGGCUUUGAAGAUGGAAGAGGGGGCCAUGAGCCAAGGAGAGUGAUGACCUUGCAGCUGAGUACGGCCCUUGGCCAACAAUGAGCAAGGAAAUGGAUUUCAGUCACAUAACCACAAGGAACUGAGUUCUAUGAGUAUCCCAAAUGAGCAAGGAAACAAAUCCUCCCCUAGAGCCAAGAAAGGAAGGCAGCUCUGUGGAUACCUUGGUUUUGGCCUGGUGCUGCCCAUGUCGGACUUUUGACAUACAGAACUGUAAGAUAGCAAGUGUAUGUUGACUAAGCUGCUAAAUUGGAGGUGAUUGGUUAUGGCAGCAAUAGAAAGCUAUAUAUCCUAGAGAAUAAAGAAGGCUAGAGCUGCUGUGGAAUGCACUUGGGAAAGCUGGCUACGUUGAUAAUAUGUAACUGGCAUGGGCAUAGUUGCCUUUGUAUUCUUCCAGGUCUGGGAAGUACAACUUAGACUUCAGAUCUCCUAAUGACCCAGGAGGCAUAUAAACCUGAGCAGCUAGUAGCCCUGUACAAGUCCUUCAUCAGGGAAAAACAUUGAGUAUUCCCUGAUUAAGGACUUGUACAGAGGACUCUGUUUUCCCUGAUGUUUCUGGUGUGUCUCAAAAAUUGUUUGACUGUGAUGACAGGGAAGUUUGGAAGAAGUUCACUGCUAAUGCAUGUCUCCAGGAAGUAGGGAAUGAUCUCACAGUGACACUUGAGGCACAUUGCUGAGGCCGUCAAUGAGAAUUCAUGUAACUUUCUCCAGCUUACAGUGGACUAGAUUGACAUGCAAGCUGAUCCAGUCCAAUUGGUAGGGCAUCAUGGUUUCUCAUUACUCACUGACUUAAAAUACUGUUAUUGCCAUCCUGGUGAAGCACUGCACUGGGUAGAUAACACAGGGGCACCUUGCUGAUCAGAGCCCUUGGCCAGGUACAAAGAGCUCAGUUUCUAAAACUCUGUCAUUUCAAUAAUGUUAUAAAUUGAAUCAUACAGUAUGUAAUUUUAUGGGAUUCGCUUUUUUUCUGUUGAUCUCUUUUUUUCUGAGUCAUCUCAGCUGUUGUGUGUAUCAAUAGUUCAUUUCCUUUUACUGUUUUGUUUGGUUUAACUCAUUGACCUAUUGAAGGAUAUCUGGGCUCAUUCCAGUCUGUGAAUAAUGCUGCUGUGGACAUUCAUGUGCAAGUUUUUGUGUGAACAUUAAGUUUUUAUUUCUUUAAGAUAAAUGCCCAGGAGUGAAAUUGAUGGGUUGUAUGUAGUUACAAACUGCCAAGCUGUUUUCCAGAGUUGGUGGUACCAUUCUAAUUUCCCAUGACAAUUUUUUGAAGAGUCCAAGCUAGUUUUGCUUUAGAGUGCCUCACCUACAUUUUUUAAUUGUCUGACUUUUUCCUAAUGACAUCACUUAAUUUGUUCCUCAAUCUCCUGAAUUUCCUAUAGACUGGAGGUUAGGUCCGGCGGUUUGAUUAGAUUUUUAAAAAAAAUAUGACUUCAUCUGUGAUGCUGUGUACUUUAUGUUGCAUAACAUGAACCCUAAGAACAGAGUGAGCUGCUGGACAGCAAGUUUCAUGGGGUGCAGUAAUUAACACACCACAUAGUAUAAAUCUGAAAUAAUGACAAAUGUGUUAAGGGCCUUGGGAUAUUGGACCAUGUACUCUGAGGAGCACAAGGUGAGGUGCAGGUUCCUGCCCCUAAAGAACUCUAUCUUUUGAGAUUAGCAACUAAUAGUGUGAGCCCACUAAUAGGAUGUGAAAGUUGUCAAAAUCAAGUUCUGGUCAUUGUGUUAAAAAUCCUAACAAAUAGAGCUGGGGAAGGCCGUGAAAGGACGAUUUUCAUGCACAAAUGUCUGAUAAUGAGGACUAUCAUAAAAGACUGCACAAAACCACACCUUGCACAAAGGCCAUCACAACCUGACACACAAAAAAUACUUCUAUGAGGACAUUUGCCCAGCAACUGCCUGUCCAAUGUCCAACUGGCAACAUCCUUGUUAUUGAUCCUUGUAGCCAAGGAUAAUUCUCUCAAAACAAUCAUUUUUGCUUUAAAAACCAUUGUCUUCCUUGACCUCCCUGUAUAUGCACAUAGUUUACUGUGGCACUUGUAUUCUUAUUGCAAUGCCUACUCCUGAAUAAACAUCAUUUUCUUUCAGAGAGUCUCCCUCUCUGUUAUUUAGGCUGACAAGGAUAUGCCAAGAAGUAGCUUGGAUAUAGCAGUUAACUCUGCCUUUAGGAUAGGUGUAUGGGGAUAUAAGAGUUAACUAAAAGCUGACCUUUGAGUUGGUCCUUGAAUAAAAGAAGAAUAGAUUCCAAAAAUAAGAGGAAUAAAUAAUGAUCCUGAGCUAGGAGAGUACAUUUUGCAGACCUUUGGUUUCCAUAUUAAGAAAUUCAGAUUUUUAUGUACAAUAAAGAAGUUCUGGAGUUCUC